CCUCUAGUCAGCACCUCCCAAGGGUGCCACAUCCUGUGACUGCGCUGGGACGUGGGUGUUCGCCUCUUUUAUCCUGUCCUUCUUCUCAUCCAAGGCUCAGAUCUCUCCUCCAUUCCGGGGAAAAUCUGUAUACAUAUCAACCACAGGCCGAGUGAUGGCAAAGCUUGAUUACCACUUUCAUUGCAUUGAGAAGUGUGUAGGAGAUCAGUGUGCAUACCUUUGGACAUCUGUGAGGGCUUUUCCAGAGAGGAUCAACCAAGGGAAACCACACCUCAAGGUCUCGUGGCAGUACAGUGGCACUGAGAACCCCGAUGACAUCUCAGCAUACAUGCUAGAGGCUUCGGCAUCCCCUGUAGCCCAGCUCUGCUGGGAACUGGUGGCUGCCCUUCUGUCCGCUGCUUCCACGGACAUCAUCUGACAAGAUCUUGCUUUUCAACGCAGGACGGCAUACUUGCCUUCUCAAAGACACACCAAGCCAUGGCGCGGCCUGGGACCGUCUCGUCUCUUGACAGUACAAGCUGUCACCAGGAGGGAACACAGGCAGAAGACCAGAUGUAAAUGUCAUUUGCAUGCCCACAUUUGGCAAAUGUUUACCCCAGUCUUUAACCAGGGACUUAAACUACCCUUCAUCUAGGCAAGCAGGUGCAAAGGUACUGUUUAAUAUCAAGGCUUUGUAAGAUUUAUCAGUACCUUUGGCAAAAGAUUGUUAUGACGGAUCAUCUUCUCUUCAGGGAGCACAUGCUGAGGUGAAGAAUGUCAGUCUGCACAUGAAGUGUGGCAGGAGCUGAGGUUUGUGGGUAAACUGCUUGGAUGUCUAAGGUUGCAAGUUCACGUUGCAUGUUCCCA